rnacentral:rRNA from 1 species
UCGUAAACAAGUCUCCGUUGGUGAACCAGCGGAGGGAUCAUUG